rnacentral:rRNA from 1 species
AACGAACGCUGGCGGCAUGCCUAACACAUGCAAGUCGAACGAGACCUUCGGGUCUAGUGGCGCACGGGUGCGUAACGCGUGGGAACCUGCCCUUAGGUUCGGAAUAACUCCCCGAAAGGGGUGCUAAUACCGGAUAAUGUCUUCGGACCAAAGAUUUAUCGCCUUUGGAUGGGCCCGCGUUGGAUUAGCUAGUUGGUAGGGUAAAAGCCUACCAAGGCGACGAUCCAUAGCUGGUCUGAGAGGAUGAUCAGCCACACUGGGACUGAGACACGGCCCAGACUCCUACGGGAGGCAGCAGUGGGGAAGAUUGGACAAUGGGCGAAAGCCUGAUCCAGCAAUGCCGCGUGAGUGAUGAAGGCCUUAGGGUUGUAAAGCUCUUUUACCCGGGAUGAUAAGGACAGUACCGGGAGAAUAAGCUCCGGCUAACUCCGU